UACGGGGGGAGCAAGCGUUGUUCGGAUUUACUGGGCGUAAAGAGCUCGUAGGCGGUCUGUCGCGUCGGCUGUGAAAACUCGGGGCUCAACCCCGAGCCUGCAGUCGAUACGGGCAGACUAGAGUGCUGUAGGGGAGACUGGAAUUCCUGGUGUAGCGGUGAAAUGCGCAGAUAUCAGGAGGAACACCGGUGGCGAAGGCGGGUCUCUGGGCAGUAACUGACGCUGAGGAGCGAAAGCGUGGGGAGCGAACAGG
rnacentral:rRNA from 1 species